rnacentral:siRNA from 1 species
AGUAACGUCCUGCCAAACCCGU